GCAGAAUUGAUUCAUCGGUAGAAUGCCACCUUCCCAAGGUGGAUAGGCGGGUCCGACUCCCGUAUUCUGCU
rnacentral:tRNA from 1 species